CUUUUAUACCCUAGUGACCCUCCUAUUAUGUUCGAUGUGGGAUUCAGGACUCCCCCUUACGUCCGUGACACUAGUAGCCAGCUAACUGAAGUUAGGGAUCAGGAAUAUUGAAUGCUUCUUUCACCUAAAGGAUGAGCUAAAUUUCUCCUGGAUCUCUCUGUGGAUUUGGCUUUCUGGCCUAUAAAAGAAGCUUUCGUUCUACAAAGCCAAAUGAAGUAAGUUUAGAAAUGCAGUGUUCAACUUUAUGUUAAAAUAGCACAAAGGACAACUGAAAAAGUGAAGGAACAGAGGUUCCAAGAACUGUGACAGAUAAGAGUUGUUGCUCGAUUGCUGCAUGUGCACACUUGAGAAGGCCUCAGCAAGCACCUUAGAGAAUCACACCUGCUUGAGAGGUUUCAAUUAAAGCUUCAUGAAGACCAAUAACCUUUGCAAUGGCAGUGUCAAUAUCAAUUUCAUAGAAGCAAGGCCUCGUUGGUAGCCCUGGGCAUUGUGCUCAUUGUACCAACUAAAGGAUAAAUAAACUCAGCUGCUAUGCUGGCUCUCACAUCCCUUUUUGGUAAAGUUAAAUAAACUUGGCGCCCCCUUCUCCGAGGCAUUGUGUGAAAAUGAGUGCUAUGUUUUUGCCAUGCAGAUUGGUAGAUCAGAAAACCCUUGUCUCCUGUACAUCUUGAUCUGUUUCUCUGCCUGAUUUGACAAAAAGAAAAGACGGUGGAUUAUAGUGGCAAGCUAAAUCAAGUUAGAGAGCAGGAAUGUUGAAUGCUUUUUUCGGAUGAGUUAAAUUCUCUCUUGGAUCUCUCUGGAUUUAGCUUUCCGGCCUAUAAAAGGACUGAAAAGGUUUAUGAAGAGUUCAAGUUGCAGAAGCUUUUGUUCUACAAAAGCAAAUAAAGGAAGUUUAGAGAUGCAGAUGGAAUGAAUUGCAACAAUCAGCAAAUAUUGGUAGCUAUACGGACAAUGCUACACUGAUUUAUCUGCUGACACUACCAUUCACCAUAGCCAUGUGCAGCUUGAUGGGCUAUACUAUCAACUUCUCUUCCUCUAAGAUUUGUUAAUGGUGAUACUAACAUCAAUGGCACAAUCAUCCAAACCAGGAAAACAAAAAUCCCUCCAAAAAUGGUGAUGUAUUUUACUAUUACUACAUGGAAGAUUAACUCAAAUCAUCCAAAACUUUCUUUCUUGGUGUGUAAUUAGUUUGAACU